AUUUUAUCAAAGGAUCAAUGGUUGUCUGUGAAAUAUCAGCUGGUAAUUCUGGGUUGAUGAGAUCCCAGAAUAUCGACUGAUAUUAUCAUAAACAACUGUACCGACCUCUCAGUAACA
rnacentral:precursor_RNA from 15 species